AUAAUUAUAAGUAAAAUCUGCUCCAUGUAACAUAAAUAGCCGCAGAAUAUUAACUGUGCUAAGGUAGCAUAAUCAUUUACCUUUUAAUUGAAGGUCUGUAUGAACGAUUUUACAAUUAAAUUACUUUUUUAUUAAAUUAUAUUAAAUUUAAACUAAACAUAAAAAUGUUUUUAUGAAAUAAAAAGACGAUAAGACCCUAUUGAACUUUACUUAUGUUUAGCUGGGGAAGCUAAUUAAAUAUAAUUUUAAUUUUAAAAUUUAAAAUAAUUUCUAAUAUAAUUAUACUAAUAAGUUACCAUAGGGAUAACAGCGUAAUAAAAUUUUAAAGCUCAUAUUAAAAAUUAAGUUUACGACCUCGAUGUUGAAUUAGAAUUUCUAUAAAAUGUAAUCAUUUAAAAGUAGGUCUGU
rnacentral:rRNA from 1 species